GGAGGCAAGACUUUUCAUCACAACAAACAUGGCGGCGGCUGGAAGUAAACGGAGGAAACUUUCUAUAAACGAACAUUGCCAUAUGUGCAGGGGAUAUCUAAGGACAAAUGGUAAUAUCUGCAACCGCCCAUGGAUAUUUGAAGAACUUCCCUACGGGAAAGGGUAAACCAGCGCCCAGCUGAACUUGAUCGAAACUUGUGAAACUUCUCCGAAAAAUCCUGUCGCAUGCCUGAAAUGCCUGCUGUAAUUUAACCCAGCGUUCUAAAGGUACGUACGAUGCAGAAAUGCAAAGCAGGGCCAAACAUGCUGCAUUCAAUGGGUACGAAGACGGUGUGAGGAACAACAUAACAGCUCUCUUCCUGGUGGCAGCCAUGGAGCACCUAGGGGCUUCAUUUAGUGUCAGAUAUCCCUGACGGCUUCAUACCUGACCACAUAACCAUGGGCUCUGAAGAGGGGAAAAAAGGAGCAGGCUACAUCCGGUAGUGGCCCGG